GUGACGGAAACAAAAGUAUGGCAGGUUUGGAAUUGUUUCUUUUAUUUUAGGACGUCGAAGAACUUAGAAUCAACCAACAAUGUAAGUUAUUUUAUAUUGUUAUUAAUAAAAACUAUAUAGCCGAAACGUAACACAUGAAAAUCGGGAAAGCGUUACCGUUUUUUUUAAGGAAAAAAUAUAAAUAUUUCACAGAAAAUCCGGGAAAUGUCAUUGUAUCACAUAAAAUUUGUUAAUUAUCAAAUAUUUUUCGUAGGUACAAUUUGUUUGACACAAAGUUAAAUUUUCCAUGAAUAAGGACUUUAAUUAUAAAUAAGCAUUUAUCAUAAGGAUUAUACAUGUUAAACUUUUAAUUUUUCAUGUGACUUGCGAUCAUAGUUAUUUUUGAUCAUUAUGAUAAUUGGCUUAUGAUAUAAAACAAAAUACAGAUAUGAAUAAAUGAUAGUUGCCAUAUGAGGUUUAACAAAGUAUUGACAGGGAUGAUUGACGUGUGCUAUGUAAAAAUGAUGGCCAUGUUGAUGACAAUGUUGUUUUGAUGAGGACGUCCAUGGGUGUUACAAUGAUGAUGAAAUGACGUUGUUCAAGUGAGCAUCAGGCGUAAAGCAGAAAAUGGCGGGAAGAAUCCUAGCAGACGACAAUUGUCGCGCAGAUGCAAUCAUGAACCAUAUCAGACUGCCCGAAAUUACAGCUGGCCCAGCUCUACACUGGCCUCGCUUUCAGCAUGUUAGGGUUUGAAAAAGGAAAUCAUAACUUUGUAGCGUAGCAGACGACAAUAAAUUUUAGAAUGGAAAUUUGCGACUUCCGGUGUGUCGACUACUCGAUGUUGUGACCCUGACGUUCAGUAUAUGAAAUGAGGGAAUUGAGGGUCGAGUUUCAGGAUUUGAAAUUAAGAAAGAACAAAAGAUAUGAAAUGAGCACCGGCAAACUGAUCUUGGCAUGUUACAUCCUUAUCACAGAACUGGAACCUACUGAUGAUGAUGAGAAAUACGGAACAUGGUAAAUUGAGCAGGUGAAGGAAUGAAGAAAACACCACCCUCUUUACAGUCAGCAAAAUAACUAUGCUUUGUUACGGUUUGGAACUACUGCAUGCGGUUACAACUUAUGUGACAAAGAGAUUUUAAUCCACCUGAUACGAUUUGGUAUCUUUCUGAAAAUGUCAUGUUCAACUUCUGAAUGGUGUUUUUUUCUGCCAAGUUUAAGAAAUAUAUUACCAUGUAACUGUCUAAUAUUUAUGGCAAUUAUGAAGUAAUAGUGAGUUUUUGGCAUAGUA